rnacentral:rRNA from 1 species
GUGGGGAAUUUUGGACAAUGGGCGCAAGCCUGAUCCAGCCAUGCCGCGUGUGUGAAGAAGGUCUUCGGAUUGUAAAGCACUUUAAGUUGGGAGGAAGGGCAGUAAGUUAAUACCUUGCUGUUUUGACGUUACCGACAGAAUAAGCACCGGCUAACUUCGUGCCAGCAGCCGCGGUAAUACGAAGGGUGCAAGCGUUAAUCGGAAUUACUGGGCGUAAAGCGCGCGUAGGUGGUUUUGUAAGUUGGAGGUGAAAUCCCCGGGCUCAACCUGGGAACUGCCUCCAAAACUGCAUGACUAGAGUACGGUAGAGGGUAGUGGAAUUUCCUGUGUAGCGGUGAAAUGCGUAGAUAUAGGAAGGAACACCAGUGGCGAAGGCGACUACCUGGACUGAUACUGACACUGAGGUGCGAAAGCGUGGGGAGCAAACAGGAUUAGAAACCCCUGUAGUCC